GUGGGGAAUAUUGGGCAAUGGGGGAAACCCUGACCCAGCAACGCCGCGUGAAGGAAGAAGGUUUUCGGAUCGUAAACUUCUAUCCUUGGUGAAGAUAAUGACGGUAGCCAAGAAGGAAGCCCCGGCUAACUACGUGCCAGCAGCCGCGGUAAUACGUAGGGGGCAAGCGUUGUCCGGAAUGAUUGGGCGUAAAGGGCGCGUAGGCGGCCUGGUAAGUCUGGAGUGAAAGUCCUGCUUUUAAGGUGGGAAUUGCUUUGGAUACUGUCGGGCUUGAGUGCAGGAGAGGUAAGCGGAAUUCCCGGUGUAGCGGUGAAAUGCGUAGAGAUCGGGAGGAACACCAGUGGCGAAGGCGGCUUACUGGACUGUAACUGACGCUGAGGCGCGAAAGUGUGGGGAGCAAACAGGAUUAGAUACCCGUGUAGUCC
rnacentral:rRNA from 1 species